rnacentral:rRNA from 1 species
AGAGUUUGAUCCUGGCUCAGGACGAACGCUGGCGGCGCGCCUAACACAUGCAAGUCGAACGAGAGAGAAGGAGCUUGCUUCUUCGAUCGAGUGGCGAACGGGUGAGUAACGCGUGAGGAACCUGCCUCAAAGAGGGGGACAACAGUUGGAAACGACUGCUAAUACCGCAUAAGCCCACGGGUCGGCAUCGACCUGAGGGAAAAGGAGUGAUCCGCUUUGAGAUGGCCUCGCGUCCGAUUAGCUAGUUGGUGAGGUAACGGCCCACCAAGGCGACGAUCGGUAGCCGGACUGAGAGGUUGAACGGCCACCAUUGGGACUGAGAUACGGCCCAGACUCCUACGGGAGGCAGCA